AAAUUCUUGAAGUUAUCUUAGCUUUUUUGUUGGGUGAAAUCAGUAUAAAGAGUUUCUCUUUCUUUUAAAAUUAAUAGGAAUUAAAAAACUUUGAUUUAAAACCAGGAUUAGAUACCCUGUUAUUCUAAGUUAUAUUUAGACAGGGUAGUAAAAGUUGUUCUUCAAACCCAAAGAUUUUGGCGGCACUUUAUCCAAAUAGAGGAGCUUGUCCCUUAAUCGAUAGUCCCCGUUCUAUCUUUCCUCUGUUUGUAGAGCUUGUAUACCGCCGUUGUCAGAUUACUUUCAGAGAAUGUUUUCAAGAUAAAAGACUUUUUUACUUCAGGUCAAGGUGCAGUUUAUAUAGAGGUGGAGGUGAGCUACAAUUUUCUUUAGAAAUACGGAUUUCAAGCCUCGAAGCUGGUUGAAGGUGGAUUU
rnacentral:rRNA from 1 species